AAAUUGAAGAGUUUGAUCAUGGCUCAGAUUGAACGCUGGCGGCAGGCCUAACACAUGCAAGUCGAACGGUAACAGGAAGCAGCUUGCUUCUUUGCUGACGAGUGGCGGACGGGUGAGUAAUGUCUGGGAAACUGCCUGAUGGAGGGGGAUAACUACUGGAAACGGUAGCUAAUACCGCAUAACGUCGCAAGACCAAAGAGGGGGACCUUCGGGCCUCUUGCCAUCGGAUGUGCCCAGAUGGGAUUAGCUUGUUGGUGGGGUAACGGCUCACCAAGGCGACGAUCCCUAGCUGGUCUGAGAGGAUGACCAGCCACACUGGAACUGAGACACGGUCCAGACUCCUACGGGAGGCAGCAGUGGGGAAUAUUGCACAAUGGGCGCAAGCCUGAUGCAGCCAUGCCGCGUGUAUGAAGAAGGCCUUCGGGUUGUAAAGUACUUUCAGCGGGGAGGAAGGGAGUAAAGUUAAUACCUUUGCUCAUUGACGUUACCCGCAGAAGAAGCACCGGCUAACUCCGUGCCAGCAGCCGCGGUAAUACGGAGGGUGCAAGCGUUAAUCGGAAUUACUGGGCGUAAAGCGCACGCAGGCGGUUUGUUAAGUCAGAUGUGAAAUCCCCGGGCUCAACCUGGGAACUGCAUCUGAUACUGGCAAGCUUGAGUCUCGUAGAGGGGGGUAGAAUUCCAGGUGUAGCGGUGAAAUGCGUAGAGAUCUGGAGGAAUACCGGUGGCGAAGGCGGCCCCCUGGACGAAGACUGACGCUCAGGUGCGAAAGCGUGGGGAGCAAACAGGAUUAGAUACCCUGGUAGUCCACGCCGUAAACGAUGUCGACUUGGAGGUUGUGCCCUUGAGGCGUGGCUUCCGGAGCUAACGCGUUAAGUCGACCGCCUGGGGAGUACGGCCGCAAGGUUAAAACUCAAAUGAAUUGACGGGGGCCCGCACAAGCGGUGGAGCAUGUGGUUUAAUUCGAUGCAACGCGAAGAACCUUACCUGGUCUUGACAUCCACGGAAGUUUUCAGAGAUGAGAAUGUGCCUUCGGGAACCGUGAGACAGGUGCUGCAUGGCUGUCGUCAGCUCGUGUUGUGAAAUGUUGGGUUAAGUCCCGCAACGAGCGCAACCCUUAUCCUUUGUUGCCAGCGGUCCGGCCGGGAACUCAAAGGAGACUGCCAGUGAUAAACUGGAGGAAGGUGGGGAUGACGUCAAGUCAUCAUGGCCCUUACGACCAGGGCUACACACGUGCUACAAUGGCGCAUACAAAGAGAAGCGACCUCGCGAGAGCAAGCGGACCUCAUAAAGUGCGUCGUAGUCCGGAUUGGAGUCUGCAACUCGACUCCAUGAAGUCGGAAUCGCUAGUAAUCGUGGAUCAGAAUGCCACGGUGAAUACGUUCCCGGGCCUUGUACACACCGCCCGUCACACCAUGGGAGUGGGUUGCAAAAGAAGUAGGUAGCUUAACCUUCGGGAGGGCGCUUACCACUUUGUGAUUCAUGACUGGGGUGAAGUCGUAACAAGGUAACCGUAGGGGAACCUGCGGUUGGAUCACCUCCUUACCUUAAAGAAGC
rnacentral:rRNA from 1 species